rnacentral:tRNA from 1 species
GCGCCGCUAGCUCAAACGGUAGAGCAGCUGAUUCUUAAUCAGUAUGUUCGGGGUUCGAGUCCCCGGCGGCGCAC